rnacentral:misc_RNA from 1 species
AGCGAUGAUGAGAAAACCCGUUGCCGAGAAAAAUGACGAAAGGAUCGACUAGCUGAGCC